rnacentral:rRNA from 1 species
CCUACGGGGGGCAGCAGUGAGGAAUAUUGGUCAAUGGCCGGAAGGCUGAACCAGCCAUGCCGCGUGAAGGUCAGUGCCCUAUGGGCGUUAAACUUCUUUUGUGCGGGAGCAAUAAUGGUCAAGUGUGGCCAGACGAGAGUACCGUACGAAUAAGCAUCGGCUAACUCCGUGCCAGCAGCCGCGGUAAUACGGGGGAUGCAAGCGUUAUCCGGAUUUAUUGGGUUUAAAGGGUGCGUAGGCUGUGAGGUAAGUCAGCGGUGAAAUGCCCCCGCUCAACGGGGUGAAGUGCCAUUGAUACUGCCUUGCUGGAAUGCGGAUGCGGUGGGAGGAAUGUGUGGUGUAGCGGUGAAAUGCAUAGAUAUCACACAGAACACCGAUUGCGAAGGCAGCUCACGAAUCCGCGAUUGACGCUGAUGCACGAAAGCGUGGGUAUCAAACAGGAUUAGAUACCCGAGUAGUC